rnacentral:rRNA from 1 species
UUCCAGGUUGAUCCUGCCGGACCUGACUGCUAUCGGAUUGGUACUAAGCCAUGCGAGUCGUUGUAGCAAUACAAGGCGGACUGCUCAGUAACACGUAGUUAACUUAACCUAUGGAUGGGCAUAACCUCGGGAAACUGAGAAUAAUACCCAAUGGACCACAGUGCCUGGAAUGGCCUGUGGUUGAAAUGAUUUAUCGCCGUAGGAUAGGACUGCGGCCUAUCAGCUUGUUGGUGAGGUAAUGGCCCACCAAGGCUAUAACAGGUACGGGCUCUGAGAGGAGGGGCCCGGAGAUGGGUACUGAGACACGGACCCAGGCCCUAUGGAGCGCAGCAGGCGAGAAACCUUUGCAAUGUGCGAAAGCACGACAAGGUUAAUCCGAGUGUCUCCUGCUAAAGGAGUCUUUUGUCAGUUGUAGAAUCACUGGUGAAUAAGGGGUGGGCAAGUUCUGGUGUCAGCCGCCGCGGUAAAACCAGCACCUCGAGUGGUCAGGAGGUUUAUUGGGCCUAAAGCAUCCGUAGCCGGUUGCAUAAGUUUUCGGUUAAAUCUAUGCGCUUAACGUAUAGGCCGCCGAAAAUACUGUGCAGCUAGGGAGUGGGAGAGGUCACGGUACUCGAUAGGAAGGGGUA